UCAUAGCGAGGAAAGAAACUAACAAGGAUUCCCCUAGUAGCGGCGAGCGAAGCGGGAAGAGCUCAAAUUUGUAAUCUGGCGCCUUCGGUGUCCGAGUUGUAAUCUCGAGAAGUGUUUUCCGCGCUAGACCGCAUGUAAGUCUGUUGGAAUACAGCGUCAUAGGUGGUGACAACCCCGUACGUAAUGCGGAUGCCUAGUGCUUUGUGAUACACUUUCGAAGAGUCGAGUUGUUUGGGAAUGCAGCUCAAAUUGGGUGGUAAAUUCCAUCUAAAGCUAAAUAUUGGCGAGAGACCGAUAGCGAACAAGUACCGUGAGGGAAAGAUGAAAAGCACUUUGGAAAGAGAGUUAAAAGUACGUGAAAUUGUUGAAAGGGAAACGCUUGAAGUCAGACUUGCGUAUUGGAGUUCAGCCGCAAGGUGUAUUCUUCAGUUUGCAGGCCAGCAUCAGUUUUCGGGGGUACAAAAGGGUAAGGGGAAGGUGGCAGCUUCGGCUGUGUUAUAGCCUCUUACUGGAUGUAUCCUUGGGGACUGAGGACUGCAGCGCACUUUUUGCAAGUCCCUCGGGACUUUCUGCGCUUAGGAUGCUGGUGGAAUGGCUUUAAACGACCCGUCUUGAAACACGGACCAAGGAGUCUAACAUGCUUGCGAGUAUUUGGGUGUCAAACCCGGAUGCGUAAUGAAAGUGAAUGGAGGUGGGAACCGCAAGGUGCACCAUCGACCGAUCCGGAUUUUCUAUGAUGGAUUUGAGUAAGAGCACGUAUGUUGGGACCCGAAAGAUGGUGAACUAUGCCUGAAUAGGGUGAAGCCAGAGGAAACUCUGGUGGAGGCUCGUAGCGGUUCUGACGUGCAAAUCGAUCGUCAAAUUUGGGUAUAGGGGCGAAAGACUAAUCGAACCAUCUAGUAGCUGGUUCCUGCCGAAGUUUCCCUCAGGAUAGCAGAAACUCAUUAUCAGUUCUAUGAGGUAAAGCGAAUGAUUAGAGGCCUUGGGGUUGAAACAACCUUAACCUAUUCUCAAACUUUAAAUAUGUAGGAAGUCCUUGCUACUUAAUUGAGCG
rnacentral:rRNA from 1 species